UACGGAGGGUGCGAGCGUUGUCCGGAAUCAUUGGGCGUAAAGGGCGCGUAGGUGGCCCGGUCAGCGUGCGGUGAAAGCUCGGGGCUCAACCCCGAGUCGGCCGUGCGAACUGCUGGGCUUGAGCACUGUAGAGGCAGGCGGAAUUCCGGGUGUAGCGGUGGAAUGCGUAGAGAUGUGGAGGAACACCAAUGGCGAAGGCAGCCUUCUGGGCCAACACUGACGCUCAUGCACGAAAGCGUGGGGAGCAAACAGG
rnacentral:rRNA from 1 species